rnacentral:rRNA from 1 species
CUAUCGGGGUUUGAUUAGCCAUGCGAGUCGAGAGGGUUUUGGCCCUCGGCGAACUGCUCAGUAACACGUGGAUAAUCUACCCUGGGGAGGAGGAUACUCCCGGGAAACUGGGGUUAAUACUCCAUAGCAAUGAUGCACUGGAAUGUCAUCGUUGCGAAAGAUCCGUCGCCCCAGGAUGAGUCUGCGUCCGAUUAGGUAGUUGUUGGGGUUACUGCCCAACAAGCCUGUAAUCGGUACGGGUUGUGGGAGCAAGAGCCCGGAGAUGGAUUCUGAGACACGAAUCCAGGCCCUACGGGGCGCAGCAGGCGCGAAAACUUUACAAUGCAGGAAACUGUGAUAAGGGAACCUCGAGUGCCCGUAAACACGGGCUGUCCAGGUGUCUAAAAAGCAUCUGAAGAAAGGGCCGGGCAAGACCGGUGCCAGCCGCCGCGGUAAUACCGGCGGCUCGAGUGGUGGCCGCUAUUAUUGGGCUUAAAGCGUCCGUAGCUGGAUUGUUAAGUCUCUUGGGAAAUCCGACGGCUCAACCGUCGAGCGUCUAAGGGAUACUGGCAAUCUUGGGAUAGGAAGAGGUGAGAGGUACUCCGGGGGUAGAAGUGAAAUUCUGUAAUCCUCGGGGGACCACCUGUGGCGAAGGCGUCUCACUAGGACUACUCCGACAGUGAGGGACGAAAGCUGGGGG